CGGACCGCGAGUGGGGAAGAUGCCAGUUCGUGGACCAUGGUGCACAGCAGAGCGUGAGAAGAGCCACACUCCUAAGCCCCCCUCCAGGUCAGCCCCGGCACGCGACGGAGGGGGCGGGACGAAAGUACCAGCGAGCCGAGGACACGUGUGCGUGCGCGCAGCGUUCGAGGGCGUCUAAAUUAGAAUCCGCUCGGCUCCGGAUCUGUAUUUACCCAGGGUGCAGCGGGCACGUGUCUACUCAGCGUGUGUGAGCUCGAGCCACCCUGGAGCGCCCCUGAGUCCGCCUUCUGCUCGGUGGGCGGGGGCCCUGGACCUCCAUGCAAGAACGAGGGACCAAAGGUGACGCUUUUGACUCCGCAUCCGGGCCCCAAGCUUUGACACCCCCCAACUCUAUGUGCUCAUCUGGCCGGGUGACUACCAGGACAUCUUCAGAAUUCGAGUUUGUGAUAUUCCAUGUAGACAUCUGAUCACCCCUUCCCGGCUGCCACUACAUGGAUACCUCUUCUGCGUAUCCAUGUCCCUCAAUAUGUCCACGGGACCCUCCCCUCCCCACCAUUCGUGGUCUCACCCCAGCAUGGUAAGUUAUUUUGGAGAUGAAUUCUCGCUCCACAGUUGUUUGGCCUCCAGGAAAGCACAGGGUCUGAAGGUGGGGCUAGGAUAGGAAACUUAACAUCCAAUCAGAGCUGCCGCGUGGUGGCGGCGGCGCCAAUCAGGAAAGCCAUACCAUGAACCCCACCCUGCCCCUGCCUGUGGCCCUCCCGGGCCCGCGCUGAUCCCACUCGAUGAUGCCAGCAGAAGGAGAGGUUUCUGUGACACCUGCUGGGGAUACACAAAGUCUGGGGCUUCGGGACCCCAGGUGGGCCCUGAGUGAGGAAACCUCAGGUGCCCUCAGGGAGACAAGGAACUUGGAGAAAGUGAUCGCAAAAAAAAAAAAAAAAAAAAAAAAA